CUUUUUUUUUGACGUCAAUAACAAGGAAAAAGCUUUAUGUUAAAUUCUAGAUGAACAGAAGAAAGCAUAUAUAUGUAUACCUCCGGAGACGAAUAAAGGCUGACAAGUGUGAAAAUGAACACCACGAACAGGUGCUUCGUGCUCGUUAAAACUGUCGAUCAAAACACCUAUCGAUCAAAAAAACUUGUGAUCAGCAGCGUUACCGGAGAAUUUCUCAUUUGUUUCUAAUUGAUUUGCUGCCAACUGAAAUAUUCCUCAGCUUUGAAUGAACUCAGUGAUACGGUUGAUGUUCGCAUAACUCUGGCUUCACUCCUCCUAGAAGAUGGCAAACGAGAUGAAGCUGUAUUAGUGCUUUCUCCUCCGGAAAAACCAGGAAGAAGCUAUCAAAGAUGAAGAGUAUCACCAUCUUUUCGUGGAUUUGUGCAAAGCGUUGGCAUCCCUGCCAAGAUAUUGGGAAGCUUUGGAGAUAGUUAAUCUUGCUCGGAGAUUGGAUGCUAAAAUGCUGCCUGUUGAGAUAAAAAAGGAACUUCAGUCACUUGGAGCUAAAAUAUCAUGUGAUACAAUGGAUCCAAAGCAGUGGUUUGACUGUGUAAGAUAUGUCAUCCAACAACAUCCGUAUCGUUUGAAUGCCUGGAACUGCUAUUACAGAGUCAUUUCAAGAUUAGGGAAAAGAGCAUCAACUGAAGCUAAGUUCAUGCAUCAUCUAAGGAGUAAGUAUAGAGAUUGUGUACCGCCCAUUCUAAUUGCUGGUCAUCACUUCACCGUGACAAGCCGACAUCAAGAUGCUGCAAGAGAAUACCUUGAAGCAUAUAAACUAAUGCCUGAUAGUCCUUUAAUUAACCUCUGUGUGGGUACGUAUGUAUUCAUAUUGUUCUCUUUCACUUUCCCAAAUUUCCGAAAUUAGUUAAAUUGAAGGUUCACCUUCGUUGAUACCUUUCAUGAGAAAAGCAAGAGUUUUUGAAUC